rnacentral:lncRNA from 1 species
GAUUAAGGCCAGCAUCAUCCACAAGGUCAAGGGGCUGCAGAGCCCCCUAAGGCCAGUGUGCUGAUGGGCCCUUCAAUAUUGUAUCCUACCCAGUGGAUUGGCAGGACUGGGUGACUGACAGGAAUCAUUGUUGCCUCUAUGGGAAAGUCUUAUGGAGAUGGGGGCUGAGGGAUGUUGAAGUUUAGCCAUUACAUUACAGUGAGAGAGAUUACACUACUAAGUGUCAGAGACCCUGCUGGGCACUUUCUGUUACUGUCACAGGUGGCUUUCACAGUAACCUUUUAAGAGAGCUCUUCUCAUUUUUCUUGUACAUGGCUGUCCAGUUGUUCCAGCAUCAUUUGCUGAAAAGACUAUCUUUAUUGUAUUGUCUUUGCUCCUUGUAUUUAUGUGGGACUAUUUCUUGGCUUUCUGUUCUGCUCAAGUGGAUCAAUUUGUCUAUUCUUUGCCAAUGCCACUCUGUCUUUCUAAAAUUAAUUUUUCGAUUGACUAAUUUUAUACAUUUAUGGUGUACAUCAUGUUUAUAUAUAUAUAUGCACAUACAUACACACACAUUGUGGAAUGGAUAAACCAAACAAUUCAAUAAUAUGUACAUUACCGCACAUACAUAUUUUGUGUAUGUGAUGAGAAUGCUUAAAGCUAUUCUCAUACUAUUUUGAAAUACACAAUAUGUUGUUAUUAAGUUUACUCGCUCUGUCGCCCAGGCUGGAGUGCAAUGGCGCGAUCUCAGCUC